GACGAACGCUGGCGGCGCGCCUAACACAUGCAAGUCGAACGAGCGAGAGAGAGCUUGCUUUCUCGAGCGAGUGGCGAACGGGUGAGUAACGCGUGAGGAACCUGCCUCAAAGAGGGGGACAACAGUUGGAAACGUCUGCUAAUACCGCAUAAGCCCACGGCUCGGCAUCGAGCAGGGGGAAAAGGAGCAAUCCGCUUUGAGAUGGCCUCGCGUCCGAUUAGCUAGUUGGUGGGGUAACGGCCCACCAAGGCGACGAUCGGUAGCCGGACUGAGAGGUUGAACGGCCACAUUGGGACUGAGACACGGCCCAGACUCCUACGGGAGGCAGCAGUGGGGAAUAUUGCACAAUGGGGGAAACCCUGAUGCAGCGACGCCGCGUGGAGGAAGAAGGUCUUCGGAUUGUAAACUCCUGUUGUUGGGGAAGAUAAUGACGGUACCCAACAAGGAAGUGACGGCUAACUACGUG
rnacentral:rRNA from 1 species